rnacentral:rRNA from 1 species
GAUGAACGCUAGCGGCAGGCUUAAUACAUGCAAGUCGAGGGACAGCACAGGUAGCAAUACUGGGUGGUAACCGGCAAACGGGUGCGGAACACGUACACAACCUUCCUUUAAGUGGGGGAUAGCCCAGAGAAAUUUGGAUUAAUACCCCGUAAUAUAGUUGAAUGGCAUCAUUUGAUUAUUAUAGCUACGGCGCUUAAUGAUGGGUGUGCGGCUGAUUAGAUAGUUGGCGGGGUAACGGCCCACCAAGUCUACGAUCAGUAGCUGAUGUGAGAGCAUGAUCAGCCACAAGGGCACUGAGACACGGGCCCGACUCAUACGGGAGGCAGCAGUAAGGAAUAUUGGUCAAUGGACGCAAGUCUGAACCAGCCAUGCCGCGUGAAGGAUUAAGGUCCUCUGGAUUGUAAACUUCUUUUAUUUGGGACGAAAAAGGGCCUUUCUAGGUCAACUGACGGUACCAGAUGAAUAAGCACCGGCUAACUCCGUGCCAGCCGCCGCCGUAAAAC